rnacentral:rRNA from 1 species
CAAAUGACUCUCGGCAACGGAUAUCUCGGCUCACGCAUCGAUGAAGAACGUAGCAAAAUGCGAUACUUGGUGUGAAUUGCAGAAUCCCGUGAACCAUCGAGUUUUUGAACGCAAGUUGCGCCCGAAGCCUUUUGGCCGAGGGCAUGUCUGCCUGGGCGUCUCAC